GUCAUCUGCUGGUUCUGACAUACUGUCACCCUUCGUGUACUGUGUAGUCAGCAGCAACCUCGUGGUGUUGUGGAAAUUUGUGUGUGACAUUCUCCAGACUGUAGAACUAAAGCAAUGGAGCAGGAGCCAAGUAAGUGGAUAAAAAAAGAGGAAACUGAUGAAGUACAAACUGAGUUCCACUUGAUAGCCCAAGAUUAUCCAUGCAGCAUGAAUGUAAAAGAAGAGUUGGAGGAGGGUGUGAAUAAAGAGUUUCUUGAAGACCCAUUAAAGGCUGGCGACCCUAAUUUUUGUGUAAAGCAAGACCCCGAACUGAAACACCGUGCUGCUGGAUCUGAGCG